ensembl:lncRNA
AUGCCUAGAUCAAUUUCAGCAUCCAGAAGACAUAUUUCUGCUAAAAUAUGUGAGGUGGCCAGUCUGAUUGGUAUUCUCAAACCAUUCAUGAAACUCUCCUGGAGCACUGGGGUCUCUACAAAUGUGUUAGCAAAGUCGCAUUCUGCUCAGAGAGAGGACCUGCAGAGGAGCUUCUGUCUGUACACUCUCUCCACAUUAUACCCUAAAGUAUCUGCAGGAAAUCCACAAGAAAAACCUCACUUACGCACAUAUUCACCACAGCAAAAUCACGUGGUCGGCAAGGUGAAAAUAACAACUGAAGCCUGAUGCAGCUGGAAUACAUUUGAAAUAUAAAAAGACAAAACAACCUACUCCUCAGCAUUAUUUUGUCUAGAAUAAGUUAUACUUUAAUGCAUUUUAUUAUAAAUAUAUAAUUAAAAUAAACAAUUAUAAAAAGCCAAAAAAUUUUACAAUUAUUUUAAUGUGAAUUUUAAAAACCAUUGCAAUGUAAAAUGGGUAUGUUCUGGAAGGACUCAAAUGUAAUUUAGUCAUUCUGUGAUGCUAUAAUCCUUUAUGUCAAUAGAAACCUUCUGUGCUUGUUCAAACUUGUCUACUCUCGAACUGCCUGAAAUUGAUGUUUGACCUUCUGGGUUUAAAAUCUACAUAUAUAUCAAUUUUUAUCCAUAACUGCACAUUUUAUGAAAACAUGGCUAGAUAGCUAUUAAGAAAAUAAAUUACGCCCUAUUUUAAUUUAAUGCAUAUCUUAUUAGGUGAUAUCUUUAGACAAAUAUUCUUAGUCAUACAAGGAAAUUUUACACUAUGUUCAGCUUGAUGAGUACCACUCUACAAUACCUCUGUCUUUACAACAUAAAAUACUUCUGUCAGAGCUUCAUAGCCAACAUAUGUACAGAAAGCAUGUAGUUAACUUCAGAAACAUAAAUUUCAGGCACGCCAGUUCUUAAUUUUGAACAAAAGACUAGGGAGGGGUGAACCACUGCUGUCCAAACAAAAGCCAAAUAGGAAUGUUUUCUAGGGUUUAAAAAGGUUACACUAAAUUUGCUUGUUUGUUUUCUCUCAGUUUUAUGCACUGUGGCACUUCCUAGAUUCAGGCAGAAGCUCAAAUACAGUGCUAAGAGAAGAGCUCUUCCUCUGCUACUCUAUUUCUGCUCUGAUGAGAAACAGGAAAUACCAGCAGUCUCAUGAGAGUUCCUGUUCUCUGCAGAUCCCCAGCUCAAAUGGGGAUCAUUACACAAACCCAUCUGAGCCUGAAAACUUUUUGAAAUUGUGGGACACAAAAAAAUCCUAGCAGAAUUCAGUAGCUUAAUCAUUUGAAGACCCUCAUAAGUACGUAGUGAAACAAUACUAUUUAUCUGACAUGGCUACAACAAGCCCUAACUAUUAAUAAACAUUGAAUGGAAAUAUUUUCAAGUCUAUACACAGAUAUUUAAAAUAUGCUUUAAUGAAUAAAUAAACAUUUUAAAACAGGGGCUCAUGUCUUUACUUUGCAAUAGCUUCAAGGGACUAGAUUUGUCACAGGUGUCUUUUAAUACCUAUUCUGAUAAGCAGAAUCCUUCAAACUUUACCAUUAAGUAUAUGAAACCUUGGCCUCUGUGAACUGCAGUUUUCAAAUCCUUGAUUAAAAGUUU